rnacentral:rRNA from 1 species
UACGGGGGGGGCAAGCGUUGUUCGGAAUUACUGGGCGUAAAGGGCUCGUAGGCGGCCAACUAAGUCGGACGUGAAAUCCCCAGGCUCAACCUGGGAACUGCGUCCGAUACUGGAUGGCUUGAAUCCGGGAGAGGGAUGCAGAAUUCCAGGUGUAGCGGUGAAAUGCGUAGAUAUCUGGAGGAAUACCGGUGGCGAAGGCGGCAUCCCGGACCGGCAUUGACGCUGAGGAGCGAAAGCCAGGGGAGCAAACGGG